rnacentral:rRNA from 1 species
ACGAAGGGGGCUAGCGUUGUUCGGAAUCACUGGGCGUAAAGCGCACGUAGGCGGACUUUCAAGUCAGGGGUGAAAUCCCGGGGCUCAACCUCGGAACUGCCUUUGAUACUGUUGGUCUCGAGUCCGGAAGAGGUGGGUGGAAUUCCUAGUGUAGAGGUGAAAUUCGUAGAUAUUAGGAAGAACACCGGUGGCGAAGGCGGCCCACUGGUCCGGAACUGACGCUGAGGUGCGAAAGCGUGGGGAGCAAACAGGA